GACGAACGCUGGCGGCGUGCCUAAUACAUGCAAGUCGAACGCUUCUUUUUCCACCGGAGCUUGCUCCACCGGAAAAAGAGGAGUGGCGAACGGGUGAGUAACACGUGGGUAACCUGCCCAUCAGAGGGGGAUAACACUUGGAAACAGGUGCUAAUACCGUAUAACAAUCGAAACCGCAUGGUUUUGAUUUGAAAGGCGCUUUCGGGUGUCGCUGAUGGAUGGACCCGCGGUGCAUUAGCUAGUUGGUGAGGUAACGGCUCACCAAGGCCACGAUGCAUAGCCGACCUGAGAGGGUGAUCGGCCACAUUGGGACUGAGACACAGCCCAAACUCCUAAGGGAGGCAGCAGUAGGGAAUCUUCGGCAAUGGACGAAAGUCUGACCGAGCAACGCCGCGUGAGUGAAGAAGGUUUUCGGAUCGUAAAACUCUGUUGUUAGAGAAGAACAAGGAUGAGAGUAACUGUUCAUCCCUUGACGGUAUCUAACCAGAAAGCCACGGCUAACUACGUGCCAGCAGCCGCGGUAA
rnacentral:rRNA from 1 species